rnacentral:rRNA from 1 species
GAUGAACGCUAGCUACAGGCUUAACACAUGCAAGUCGAGGGGCAGCGGGAUUGAAGCUUGCUUCAAUUGCCGGCGACCGGCGCACGGGUGAGUAACGCGUAUCCAACCUUCCGUACACUCAGGGAUAGCCUUUCGAAAGAAAGAUUAAUACCUGAUGGUAUGAUGAGAUUGCAUGAUAUCAUCAUUAAAGAUUUAUCGGUGUACGAUGGGGAUGCGUUCCAUUAGGUAGUAGGCAGGGUAACGGCCCACCUAGCCAACGAUGGAUAGGGGUUCUGAGAGGAAGGUCCCCCACAUUGGAACUGAGACACGGUCCAAACUCCUACGGGGGGCAGCAGUGAGGAAUAUUGGUCAAUGGACGAGAGUCUGAACCAGCCAAGUAGCGUGAAGGAUGAAGGUCCUACGGAUUGUAAACUUCUUUUAUAAGGGAAUAAACCCUCCCACGUGUGGGAGCUUGUAUGUACCUUAUGAAUAAGCAUCGGCUAACUCCGUG